AUUGAACGCUGGCCGCAUGCUUUACACAUGCAAGUCGAACGGCAGCGCGGGCUUCGGCCUGGCGGCGAGUGGCGAACGGGUGAGUAAUGCAUCGGAACGUGCCCAGUAGUGGGGGAUAGCCCGGCGAAAGCCGGAUUAAUACCGCAUACGACCUGAGGGUGAAAGCGGGGGACCGAAAGGCCUCGCGCUAUUGGAGCGGCCGAUGUCGGAUUAGCUAGUUGGUGGGGUAAAGGCUUACCAAGGCGACGAUCCGUAGCUGGUCUGAGAGGACGACCAGCCACACUGGGACUGAGACACGGCCCAGACUCCUACGGGAGGCAGCAGUGGGGAAUUUUGGACAAUGGGGGCAACCCUGAUCCAGCCAUGCCGCGUGCGGGAAGAAGGCCUUCGGGUUGUAAACCGCUUUUGUUCGGGAAGAAAUCCUCUGGGCUAAUACCCCGGGAGGAUGACGGUACCGGAAGAAUAAGCACCGGCUAACUACGUG
rnacentral:rRNA from 1 species